rnacentral:misc_RNA from 1 species
AAGUCGUAACAAGGUUUCCGUAGGUGAACCUGCGGAAGGAUCAUUACAGUAAAGAAAGGUCGCGCGCAGUUGCUGGCCCUCCGGGGCAAGUGCACGCCGUGUCCGUAUCCUUCUUACACCCCUGUGCACCUUUGCGUGGGGCGCCGCUGGCCUCUCUGGCUUUCGGUGCGCCGCGUCUUCUUACACACACCACGUAUGUCUUCAGAAUGUCUACUUGCGAUAAAAAGCAAAUGUAAUACAACUUUCAACAACGGAUCUCUUGGCUCUC